UACAGAGGUCUCAAGCGUUGUUCGGAUUCAUUGGGCGUAAAGGGUGCGUAGGUGGCGCCGUAAGUCAGGUGUGAAAUUUCGGAGCUUAACUCCGAAACUGCAUUUGAUACUGCGGUGCUUUGAGGACUGGAGAGGAGACUGGAAUUCACGGUGUAGCAGUGAAAUGCGUAGAUAUCGUGAGGAAGACCAGUGGCGAAGGCGGGUCUCUGGACAGUUCCUGACGCUGAGGGCGCGAAAGGCGUGGGGGAGCAAAACGGG
rnacentral:rRNA from 1 species